AUUGAACGCUGGCGGCAUGCUUUACACAUGCCAGUCGAACGGCAGCGCGGGCUUCGGCCUGGCGGCGAGUGGCGAACGGGUGAGUAAUGCAUCGGAACGUGCCCAGUAGUGGGGGAUAGCCCGGCGAAAGCCGGAUUAAUACCGCAUACGACCUGAGGGUGAAAGCGGGGGACCGAAAGGCCUCGCGCUAUUGGAGCGGCCGAUGUCAGAUUAGCUAGUUGGUGGGGUAAAGGCUUACCAAGGCGACGAUCCGUAGCUGGUCUGAGAGGACGACCAGCCACACUGGGACUGAGACACGGCCCAGACUCCUACGGGAGGCAGCAGUGGGGAAUUUUGGACAAUGGGGGCAACCCUGAUCCAGCCAUGCCGCGUGCGGGAAGAAGGCCUUCGGGUUGUAAACCGCUUUUGUUCGGGAAGAAAUCCUCUGGGCUAAUACCCCGGGGGGAUGACGGUACCGGAAGAAUAAGCACCGGCUAACUACGUG
rnacentral:rRNA from 1 species